ACCUUGACGCGAAGAUGACGUACGAGCCAGGAGACAGUAUAUAAAGUUGUCGCCCCUUUGGUGACGGGUUUUUCUCUCUUGUCAUUUUGGGCGCUUUGUCUCCUCUUAGUGUCCAGUUUGCGAGAUUAGAGGAAUUCUGAGUCAACCAUGAAGUCAGUCAUUCUUGCUCUGUUGGUAGUCUCUUGCGUCAUUGCCGCUUGCCUGGCUUCCGAUCCACAUGGCGGUCACGUGAGUUCAUUUACAAUCAGCUAAUUAUCUUUAAACCAUUAUUGUAUUAAAUUACAUUACUGGACAGUGUUUAACCAUAAAUCUGUUUACGUAGAUGAAUCUUUUACUUCAACAAAACAAACAUGUUCU